rnacentral:rRNA from 1 species
UACGGGAAGGGCAAGCAUUAUCCGGCGUGACUGGGCGUAAAGAGUCCGUAGACGGUAAAGUAAGUUUACUGUUAAAUUUUAAAACUUAAUUUUGAGAAAGCAAUAAAUACUGCUUUACUUUGAGUUUAAUACAGAAAAGUGGAAUUUUAUAUGGUAGGGGUGAAAUCCGUAGAUAUAUAAAGGAAUGCCAAUAGCGAAGGCAGCCUUCUGGGCCAACACUGACGCUCAUGCACGAAAGCGUGGGGAGCAAACAGG